rnacentral:lncRNA from 1 species
GGGUUUGAUCAUACUGAUGCUGCUGUAAAGUGCUUUAAAAGUUUCUGUAAUGACAAUGACGGUUGCACAUUUGGAUGUUUCGCCCAUGGUUGUGGUUCCAAACAUUUCUGUAAUGUACAAGAUAGGCAAUGUUGCUGUGAUGGUUGUAUCUCCGAUUAAUAACCUAGAAAAAUCAGAACUUUAAAUUUUGUAAAGUGCCGAGUAUGCGUUUAUUCGUGCAUAUACAAUUAUAACAUAAGUCUAUGAUUAAAAAGUUUUGGCAUUUUGAUUGGUAGUUAUAUUAAUUGUUACCCAUCAUCAUAAAUCAUAAUAUCUGAACAUUUCAAUUGUCGAACAGGAAAAUUUUUUUAAUACUGUAUUAUGCCUUAUGAUUUUGUGCACUGCAAAAAAAAUUCUUUUGGACGACAGUUGCAUUUCUAAAUAUAUAAUUAUUAUUAACUAUAAUAUAAUGAAC